GCUGGUUUGUGCUUCCCCAUGGGAAGGAGAGAUGGGCUCUAAGGGACAAUGUCACUUAUCUCCAGCCAAAGCCUGCAGUCCCAGCACUCUGAGACCUGAAGCCCAAAGCAGAAGGACCCAAGUUCAAGGGUUUCUCUGUAUAGCCCUGGCUGUCCUGGAACUCACUCUGUAG